rnacentral:rRNA from 1 species
UACGUAGGGUGCGAGCGUUGUCCGGAAUUAUUGGGGCGUAAAGAGCUUGUAGGCGGUUUGUCGCGUCUGCUGUGAAAUCUCAAGGCUCAACCUUGAGCUUGCAGUGGGUACGGGCAGACUAGAGGUGUGGUAGGGGAGACUGGAAUUCCUGGUGUAGCGGUGAAAUGCGCAGAUAUCAGGAGGAACACCGAUGGGCGAAGGCAGGUCUCCUGGGC